GCCCCAAUUUAGAUCGGAUUAGACUGUCAUGGAACCGCGGUCUCAUUUGGAGAAUAGCACGUGAACAUCUCUGGGAGAUUUGAGGGGACAGUACCCUCAGGCAGGAGGAGGGGCUUUGUGAUAGUAAUCUCUCCCUGCAGUGCAGCUGACCCAGAGAAUAUUUGUCUACCAUCUAAAAUAUAGAAGAACUUUUCAAACACAUUUAAAAGACCUAAAAGUUUCCUGUCGGUGUUCUGUAAAACAAGUUAAUUCAACAUAGGCUUACACGAUGUUUCUUUUGCUUCCAUCCUUCCCCCUGGCAGCCUGCUCCAUACCCUUUUUGUAAGCCAGAAGAUACCCUCCUGCCCUGGCCCUCUUAGGUCAUGUCAUGGUGGGCACCCUGCCAAAUGAAGCUGAUCUUAUAAGCUGCUAGUGCCCUGGUUGUUGGUGGGACUGUUUGCAUGAUUUUUAAUUCACUUCUGUGGUGCCCUCAUUUUUUUUUUCCCUGCCCGAGUUUGAAGUGAGAUUGUGUUUAGCUGUGAACUACACUGCUGCAAAUUCAUGGUCUAUUAGCACCUUUUCAAAGCUCCCCUCUGUGCUCUCUGAAGAAUUAGAACACAGCUAUUAAAAAAAAAAUAAAUUAAAAAGCACUCAAGGUUAUUGCACAGUGUCAUUGUUUCAGGCUUUAUUUUUAACAUUAUUGCUAAGAUAGGUUUGUUUGUGUGUUUGCUUGCUUGCUUUCCCCAUACUGUAUUUAGAUUUGAAAACAACAGCAUCAGUAAUAAGAUAUUGAUGAACCUAAGGUAGAUGUGACAGCAUAAUAUGGGUAAUACAUAUACAAUUUGUCAAAGCAGAUGAAAUAACCCCACCUUGGGCGAUUUUCAAAAGAAAUACAGUACAGUACUUGUCAGGUCUGGGUGACUACUCCAUAAAUAUAUUACCUGCUGGCAUACAAGUAUCACUUUGUAUAAGGUAGUUACACAGUAAAGGAAAAGGGAGUGGCAGGGCAAAACCAGUGAUCUUGCAGAGUCUGUCAAAGAAAGCCAUGAUCUCAGAUAGAAAAAUGCUAAAAUAAAAAUGAUCAUUAUUUGGGGAUAACUACAUUUAUGUGUAAACCAUCCACACAUUUGAUUGGUAUUUUUAUUCUGAUCAAAUAAGUGAUGCUGUAGUUUUUAUUGUGUAUUUUUGAGUCGGUAUCUACUGUCAUCAGUAGGGAUACAAAAUUAGGCUAGAAAUAGACUUCUUUUCUUUAACAAAUUAGUAAAAAAUUCAGAAUUACUGCCACAGUUAGGAUACACACUUUGGCAGGAAUAUCCUGCAUCAUGAAAUGACUAAGACCUUCAGAAUCAAAAUCAAAACCCUGAAUUACCACAGAUAAAAUUUUUAUGUUAAAUAUUUAUAUUACACUUUUUUUUUUUCAAGAUCUAUUGUGGAUAUGCUUGUUUACCUUUCAUUGAAACAACUAAUGAAAGAAUGAUAGAGAGCAGGUGAAUUGUGCUAAGAUGUCACAGUGCUUACCUAUUUAUGUAUGUAUAUUUUUCUUUCCUAGGAUGUGAAAAAGAAAACAAUGGCUUUCAUAAUACACUCUUGCACAACACUCACUCUGACAGCUUUCAACGCAACUUCAGUGUGUUUGUAAUACCAGGUGCACACAUUUGCACAUACAUUUAUAUAGGGAGCUAUGAAAAUCAUAUCUUAGAAAUCAAAGGGGGCAGGUGGAUCAAAAUUACUAAAAUCAUAGCCAAAGCAUGCAGUAAACUGUAAACUACAGCUUGAUUACCUCUGAGAUGUUAAGUGGUUUUCUUUCUUUGCUAUUUCACUGCUAGUUCCCAGGCACAUGGGCGUGCUUAGAUCAUGAGUCCACCACCUCUAUCAUUUGUACUGUAGGAGUCUGAUUUUUUGACUACAGAAAGCAGAAUCAUCUACUGAAGUGUGGGAACACUUUAUGUUGUCCUAGGUUUUGUAUGUUAAUUCUACAAAUAUGUUGAUUUAACUCGAUUGAGGCCUCCUGGAAAAGGAGGCAUCCCCAUCCCUAUGGUCAACCCUCUCAAAGAAAAAGCACAGGAAAGGGUAACUUAAGGCAUUCAUUUGUCACCUGAGAGUUGUUAACUCAAUGGCAUCGUGCUUGGCCAUGAGCACCUUGCAUUUGUCUCCUGCUGAGCCUUUGGGACUCCCUUAGCCAGAGGAAUAAAAGCCCAGGAACCCAAAACAGUUGAAUUGGCAGGAUGGAAAUGUUCCCUUUCACAACAUGAAGAAAUAAAGAAUAUGCUCUCACUUCCUUGGGCAGCAUCUUCCAGCACUGAGCAACCUUUUCCAGUGCCUCACCACCCUCACAAGUAAAGGCACUUACUUUAAAGACCUUAGUCUUUGGCUUGAGCGUUUUGGUGGGAAAUCAUUCUGUUAGAAAAUUUAUAUCAGUGCUUAUGGUUACAGUAUCCAGAAACAGGACCAUAAGCUGACCAGUGAAGAUGGCUUUGCAGGACAAGAAUUGCUAAUCCACUAGACCUCUCUGUAUGUUUUUGAUGAGUAAAAGUUGAGAAUUGGAGGGUAAAAGAAUGCGUCAUGCAGCAAUUCUAACCAAACUACUCUUAAUAAAUAAAAUAACAUCCAAGUAUAUUCCAGAAGACUUUCCUUCUUCCUCUUCUCAUUAUACCUGCUUUUGGAAAGAUGUAUACCUUUUUCCCUGCUUCUAAUCUAUUUGUGGGGUGUAACUCCCUGUUACAGUAUACACAAGCAUAUAGAGAAUGUUAAUAAGAAAAAUGUCUAUCACUUUUGAUCAGGCUUACAAAUAAGCUGCUUUUUUUCUUUUUUUCCUUAAUAGCUUAUGUUUGGAAGUCAAGUCGUGGUUCUGGGAAAGGUGCAGAGGCUCAUGUUACAAAGCAUCUCCUUUUUGAUGAGCGGUGUUAGCAGGCCUUUUUGCUAACCAGUUCAAACAGACUACACUAAUUCUCCAGUGUGUUCCCAUCUUCCCACAUUAUGGUCUCUGCUUUCUUUCUUUACUGUCAAUACAUCUAGAAAUUUCUAACAGGUCAAUAAUCCCUGAAAGAUCAAAAUGAGGAUUCACUGCUAUAAAAACAUUGGCAUUUCUUUGUAAUAUAAAAGCGAAUGUGAUUCUUUCAAAACAAGGUAACCUCCAGUUGCCCAAGAAGAGUUCAUCCACCUCCAUCACAAGGUGGAAAUAUGCCAUUAAAACAAAGAGGUGUGGUUGAUAUCCCCAGAAGAUAUUUACACUGACGGAGACAAGUGAGAUGACUGAAAAAAAGUCAGGGUCCUUCAGUUUAGGAUCUGAAAACUGUUGCUGGGCAUAAAUAUGAUGUUUAUUCCAUGAGGGUACAGGGAAAAUCUGCCACGCAGAUUUACACUGUAGAGACUUCCUAUACAAUGGCCAAAAGACAUUCCAGAGAACUCUUUAGAAAGCUUAGAAUCAAUAGCAUAAUCAUAAUGUGUUACAGGAAGGCAACAGGGAAGGUCGGGGCCUAAGUUUCAUCACUAUCCAAAGUUCAGUAAAAUUCUCCAGAUGAUCUUAUACAGCAGACAGCUCUGUGCCACAGAGGAAGGAAAAAUGGCUUGUGUUAGUCUAAAGUGAAGGGCAGUUCGUUGGUGAUCCCAAGUAUAUGAAUGUUCUCUUAGGCCAAGUUCCUUUCUUUUUCGUGCCUGCAUCUUCAUUGACCUGAACAACAUUGCACCCCUUCUUUGAGGGGGUUAGUGGAAAGGGUAUUUUUCUGGAAGAAGUUCAUCUGUGAUAAGUUUUGCUGAUGCCAAUGCCUAUGUGAGGAUGGCAGUACAUGCAAUAACAACCAUUCUGGAAAAUGAGGAGGUAGAUACCAGAGAAAGAUGCAGACAAGAAGAGUUUCUUGUUCUAAGAGACAAAAGUUUUAUACACAGGGAGUAAAUAAAUGACUGGGCACAAAGCCUAGCACAAAGCCAUUCUUGUCACAUUAAAUUAAGUUGAUUUUUAUUUUACAUCUUAAAUCUAGCUAUUGGUGGGCUUCAUAAAGAAUACAGACAUGAUCUGGAAUGUUGAUCAAGUCUAAGGAUAAAGCGACAAAGAAAAUGGCCACCAGUUGAAAUGCCAUAAUUGAAAUAAUUGUGAAUGAAAUACCCCACGUCUGAGACUUUCUGCCAUGUUGGAAGAUUGAGAUUGGACAUGAUCUGUAAUAGUCAUCUUUGUCUAAAUCACCUGUUAGAGCAGGGUGACCUAGAGUAGGUUGCCCAGGACUAUCUCCAGAUGGCUUUUAAUCUUCUUUACCCUGAAGACAGAUAUAAAUAACUGGCACUGACCUUCUGGCUAGAAAACUUUAACAUAUCAGUCUUUGAAGCUUAUGUCCACUGCUCUCAUUUUAUCAGAAGAUUGUCUGAGCAUUGCACAGAUUUCUGGAUAUACUAGGACCUUUUUAAAGCCAAACAGUUUUCUGAAAACCAAACACAUCUAAAGAGUAAGCCAUCAUUUGUAUGCAGAGAGUCAUUGCGCUGCCUGCCUCAUCUGGAUUACCAGCAGACUCCUCACAGGAGAUAUUAAUUAUAGGCAAGGCUGUGAAUGCCACCUAUAGUUAAGCUUGCCUGACACUUUUCAUCACAAGACCCUGUUUUCCAUUGCUUAUAAAUUUGUCAAAUGUAUGUUAUUUGGACUAAAAAUGUACAGACUGGGAGACUGCAUCUGACUGAAUAUCUAAACCUUCAGAAAAAAUUGCAUCUUUUUUUUUUUCCCUCCUGAGAACAAGUUUAAGAGAAAUGUGCUGCUUUUUCUCUUGUCUUAAAAAUAGAUGUUUCUGUCCAUUUUGUUGAGAUGCUCCAACGAUUUGGAGAAAGAAUUCAAUAAGUGGAAAGUAGAAGCCAUGUGUCACAAUGUUGUCAGAGUCCAGGCUUUACAAAUGUGCUAGUGUACAUGCAAGAAGGACUCAAGUACUGUUAAAAUGUAGAAAGGAUGUGGUUGAAAGUAGAUUAAUUGUGGAGAUUUAAUUGAAGCUAUUUAAUAACUACUGUUUUCUAGGUUACCAUUACAUCAUCUUUUUACCUGUGGAAACGAGGGGAAGCUCAUCCCAUUCACAGAGUCCCAUCAGUGAUUUCUUGCUUGUGAAGCACGCAAGUAGUGCAAGGAUGGCAUGACAGAAAAGUCAUCAGACGUUCAUAAUCCUGUCUUCGUAGCAAGACUUGAGUACAGUAUGAAUCUUCAAAGCAACAAGGAACACCUCUUGUGGAAAAAAGGGUACUGCAGAUGGGGAAAUAAGAAUGAAAGUAAAAGAAACAUGAUAAACAGUGUCUACCAGGAAAGCGCCCAUGGAGCUGCUGAAUGAGGAUUGCUGAUGCUUGGAGUUGUGUAAUUGUGAAAUUUAGUGAAGAAGAGCUGUCGGAAGAUCUCUAAUUAGAUAGUGUAGCCAACCCCCAUAGGUAAUGUUUCCUACAUGCGCCACUAAGGGGUGUUACGUCAGAGAAACUGAUGUAUUGUGCACCCGGUGAAAUGGCCGAAAAAAGGCACAGACUGGUAAAAAAGACAAGGAAAGUUUUUCUGGGGUGGAUGUUUUUGUGUGUGAGCUAUCCAAUUCUAGGGUAUUCAGCACAGCUGUGAAGGAAGAAAAAGGUUUUGUAUUAUCUGGAAGGUGGAGAGGUGGGUGGAUACCCAGUAGAUAGGGGGUUCAUUGUGUAGUUUCCAUGUGCCUUGAUUCUGCCAUUUAGAAGAUGAUAAAAUGGACACCUCAUCCUAACUGCUAUGUUU